UUAAGCGACUAAGCGUACACGGUGGAUGCCCUGGCAGUCAGAGGCGAUGAAGGACGUGCUAAUCUGCGAUAAGCGUCGGUAAGGUGAUAUGAACCGUUAUAACCGGCGAUUUCCGAAUGGGGAAACCCAGUGUGAUUCGUCACACUAUCAUUAACUGAAUCCAUAGGUUAAUGAGGCGAACCGGGGGAACUGAAACAUCUAAGUACCCCGAGGAAAAGAAAUCAACCGAGAUUCCCCCAGUAGCGGCGAGCGAACGGGGAGCAGCCCAGAGCCUGAAUCAGUGUGUGUGUUAGUGGAAGCGUCUGGAAAGGCGUGCGAUACAGGGUGACAGCCCCGUACACAAAAAUGCACAUGCUGUGAGCUCGAUGAGUAGGGCGGGACACGUGGUAUCCUGUCUGAAUAUGGGGGGACCAUCCUCCAAGGCUAAAUACUCCUGACUGACCGAUAGUGAACCAGUACCGUGAGGGAAAGGCGAAAAGAACCCCGGCGAGGGGAGUGAAAAAGAACCUGAAACCGUGUACGUACAAGCAGUGGGAGCACAGAGCAAUCUGUGUGACUGCGUACCUUUUGUAUAAUGGGUCAGCGACUUAUAUUCUGUAGCAAGGUUAACCGAAUAGGGGAGCCGAAGGGAAACCGAGUCUUAACUGGGCGUUAAGUUGCAGGGUAUAGACCCGAAACCCGGUGAUCUAGCCAUGGGCAGGUUGAAGGUUGGGUAACACUAACUGGAGGACCGAACCGACUAAUGUUGAAAAAUUAGCGGAUGACUUGUGGCUGGGGGUGAAAGGCCAAUCAAACCGGGAGAUAGCUGGUUCUCCCCGAAAGCUAUUUAGGUAGCGCCUCGUGAAUUCAUCUCCGGGGGUAGAGCACUGUUUCGGCAAGGGGGUCAUCCCGACUUACCAACCCGAUGCAAACUGCGAAUACCGGAGAAUGUUAUCACGGGAGACACACGGCGGGUGCUAACGUCCGUCGUGAAGAGGGAAACAACCCAGACCGCCAGCUAAGGUCCCAAAGUCAUGGUUAAGUGGGAAACGAUGUGGGAAGGCCCAGACAGCCAGGAUGUUGGCUUAGAAGCAGCCAUCAUUUAAAGAAAGCGUAAUAGCUCACUGGUCGAGUCGGCCUGCGCGGAAGAUGUAACGGGGCUAAACCAUGCACCGAAGCUGCGGCAGCGACGCUUAUGCGUUGUUGGGUAGGGGAGCGUUCUGUAAGCCUGCGAAGGUGUGCUGUGAGGCAUGCUGGAGGUAUCAGAAGUGCGAAUGCUGACAUAAGUAACGAUAAAGCGGGUGAAAAGCCCGCUCGCCGGAAGACCAAGGGUUCCUGUCCAACGUUAAUCGGGGCAGGGUGAGUCGACCCCUAAGGCGAGGCCGAAAGGCGUAGUCGAUGGGAAACAGGUUAAUAUUCCUGUACUUGGUGUUACUGCGAAGGGGGGACGGAGAAGGCUAUGUUGGCCGGGCGACGGUUGUCCCGGUUUAAGCGUGUAGGCUGGUUUUCCAGGCAAAUCCGGAAAAUCAAGGCUGAGGCGUGAUGACGAGGCACUACGGUGCUGAAGCAACAAAUGCCCUGCUUCCAGGAAAAGCCUCUAAGCAUCAGGUAACAUCAAAUCGUACCCCAAACCGACACAGGUGGUCAGGUAGAGAAUACCAAGGCGCUUGAGAGAACUCGGGUGAAGGAACUAGGCAAAAUGGUGCCGUAACUUCGGGAGAAGGCACGCUGAUAUGUAGGUGAAGUCCCUCGCGGAUGGAGCUGAAAUCAGUCGAAGAUACCAGCUGGCUGCAACUGUUUAUUAAAAACACAGCACUGUGCAAACACGAAAGUGGACGUAUACGGUGUGACGCCUGCCCGGUGCCGGAAGGUUAAUUGAUGGGGUUAGCGCAAGCGAAGCUCUUGAUCGAAGCCCCGGUAAACGGCGGCCGUAACUAUAACGGUCCUAAGGUAGCGAAAUUCCUUGUCGGGUAAGUUCCGACCUGCACGAAUGGCGUAAUGAUGGCCAGGCUGUCUCCACCCGAGACUCAGUGAAAUUGAACUCGCUGUGAAGAUGCAGUGUACCCGCGGCAAGACGGAAAGACCCCGUGAACCUUUACUAUAGCUUGACACUGAACAUUGAGCCUUGAUGUGUAGGAUAGGUGGGAGGCUUUGAAGUGUGGACGCCAGUCUGCAUGGAGCCGACCUUGAAAUACCACCCUUUAAUGUUUGAUGUUCUAACGUUGACCCGUAAUCCGGGUUGCGGACAGUGUCUGGUGGGUAGUUUGACUGGGGCGGUCUCCUCCUAAAGAGUAACGGAGGAGCACGAAGGUUGGCUAAUCCUGGUCGGACAUCAGGAGGUUAGUGCAAUGGCAUAAGCCAGCUUGACUGCGAGCGUGACGGCGCGAGCAGGUGCGAAAGCAGGUCAUAGUGAUCCGGUGGUUCUGAAUGGAAGGGCCAUCGCUCAACGGAUAAAAGGUACUCCGGGGAUAACAGGCUGAUACCGCCCAAGAGUUCAUAUCGACGGCGGUGUUUGGCACCUCGAUGUCGGCUCAUCACAUCCUGGGGCUGAAGUAGGUCCCAAGGGUAUGGCUGUUCGCCAUUUAAAGUGGUACGCGAGCUGGGUUUAGAACGUCGUGAGACAGUUCGGUCCCUAUCUGCCGUGGGCGCUGGAGAACUGAGGGGGGCUGCUCCUAGUACGAGAGGACCGGAGUGGACGCAUCACUGGUGUUCGGGUUGUCAUGCCAAUGGCACUGCCCGGUAGCUAAAUGCGGAAGAGAUAAGUGCUGAAAGCAUCUAAGCACGAAACUUGCCCCGAGAUGAGUUCUCCCUGACUCCUUGAGAGUCCUGAAGGAACGUUGAAGACGACGACGUUGAUAGGCCGGGUGUGUAAGCGCAGCGAUGCGUUGAGCUAACCGGUACUAAUGAACCGUGAGGCUUAACCUU
rnacentral:rRNA from 1 species